rnacentral:rRNA from 1 species
UACGUAGGGGGCAAGCGUUGUCCGGAUUCGAUUGGGCGUAAAGGAGCGAUGUAGGCGGCCAGGUAGGUCGGUUGUGAAACUGGAGGCUCAACCUUCAGAGGUCGACCGAAACCAUCUGGCUAGAGUCCGGGAGAGGAGAGUGGGAAUUCCUGGUGUAGCGGUGAAAUGCGUAGAUACUGGGAGGAACACCAGUGGCGAAGGCGGCCUGACCUGGACCGGUUCUGACGCUGAGUGGCGCGAAAGCGGUGGGUACGCAAACAGG